AGAAGCAGAUUUCUUCAUUAUUCUCUCUGCUUCUUAAAUUGUAGAAUAUCACCAUAAAAGCUUGCAACUUUAUUAAACAAUGUUCUAUCUCCACACUCCAUUCCCACUCUCCUCGGUGCCCCUUCAUCUUCUUCACGCAAUUCCUCCACCAGAAUCGCAAUGUUUUCCUCCAAGUCUCUCUCUCCUCUACCCCAACAUCUUAUUGUGGUCUCUCUCUCUCUCUCUCUGUUAUGCCCCUGCCUGUAACACCUCAUUUUCUGCAAGUUAAUUGGUGAGCUAAUGGGUAUUGGUGCGUCCAAUUGUGAGCAGGUUCAACUUUCAAGGAGGUGGAAAUGCGGCCAAGGCCUUGACUUGUGCGGCUCGUUUGGGUUUAAACCCAAGACUCAUUUUGAAGGUUGCUGAUGAUGCACAAGGAAAGAGUACCUUGGAAGAACUAGAAGCUGAUGGUGUAGCUACUUCCUUCUUCAUGGUAGGCCUCGGAUGUGAGACCUGACAUUUUUAUUUCUAAUAGCAUACAUAUAUUUAUGCUUACAUAUAUAUCUAUAUAUGCUGAAGUUAAAAAAAAAAAAAACAGAGAGAGAGAGAAAGAUGUGGUGGCAUAGACUCCACGUGGCCCAAAAUCCCCCCCUAAGCAAUCCCUUCCACCGCCUCAGCUUGUCCUCUACAUAAAAAGAAAAUGAAACAAAGAGAAGAAGAUGGGGGCACGGGGGAGAAACACAGAGAGAGAGAGAGAGAGAGAGAGAGAGAGAGAGAGGACGGGCGAUAGAGUGGUAGAGAGGGUGACAAGGAGCUCGAGAUGAAACUCAUGCAAGAGAGGGCCGAGCUUCAGCUCUGUUCACAAGACGAAGAACAGAGCAGACCAGACCAGAGAGUCGGGGAGAGAGGAGGACAAUACGUCUUGAGCUCUUGAAUUGGAUCGAGGAGACUGAAUACUUGGACUUUGAAGGUGCAACCCAGUGAGCUAUUUUCUUGGAGUUGUCGAUAAGCUUCUAGUUGUGUGGAAGAACCACUUUUUGAUGUCGGGGAUCAGCUAGGAGGACUAGGUCGCCAAGGAGGGUAAUUCACCAUUUACCUAUAUCAUUGUUGACAAUGAAAAGAAAACAAGAACCUGUAUACAUACCCCUGGAUAUUCUCCCAUGAUACCAACUGACCUUUCUCCGUCAAGUCUGCUAUCUGCACCCGAAGAGACAAAGGGUUGUCUACUUUGAUGGAAGGUUGCAUGAAACUGCUUUAAUUGUAGCUCAAGAGGAAAUCACAUUAUAACUGAUUCCCAUUUAACUUGGUAAUUUUGUUAGUUGUAGACCUACUUUUAUGGAGUCAUGUGGAUGAUAGAAUGAUAUGUUAAUUUGCAAUAUUUGAGCUAUAACGAUUGAUACAUAAUCUUAAGAAUCAGAUCGUGUUUUCUACGAAACUUAAGUUGGGUGAGUAUUCGUGGUCUCUUUAAUAUGCGGGAGUAGUGCUUUUUCCUCGCUUCACUUAUGGGUAUAGAAAACCUUCAUCAUCUGAACUUUGUGGGAAGUAAGCAGCAUUGUGUUUCUGGGAGAGCAGGCCACUCGCAGGAAUAUACUGAUACUAAUGGAUACAGAAAGGAUAAGAGAAGGAGUGGACUCGAGCUCCAUCUAUUGCAAGCUCGUUUGUUUCUAUGAUGAUUAGACUGCCAAAACUGAAAUUCGCCAUCGUUACCUUGGGCAAAGAAAGGAUGCGUAAUGCUAAAGAGGAGUAGUGAUGUCCGUCAUUGAGCAGAAGAAGCUGAUGUGGACAGCUUGCUGGAAAUUCUGAAACAGCAGAAAGAUGAUAGACCAUUCCAACAUGUGUUGAAUCGUCGGUGACAAAGUUAAGAGCUGACGGGAUAGGGACCGUAAGCGGAAGGUUACUAUUGGGAACAACUGAGAAAAUUCCGCCAACAGAACUCGUUGAUACAGCCGGUGCAGGGGAUGCAUUUAUAGGCGCUACUCCAUAUGGUGAUCCUUUCAUUAUUUUCGUAGAAAGUUCUUGCCGCUUUAGUUGAAUGAGCUAAGAAGUCAUGAGUUCUUCAGACUCUUGCGAAAUAAUUAGAUGUCAUGAAUUAAUCCUUUUUCCUUGGCUAACUGUUGGUCCAGUAGACAUUCUGCUAAAAUACAAUUCCUGCAGAAGAGGCGAAGUCUAAAGGUAGAGGGAAAGAAUGUCUGUAAACUGGUUUUUGCUAAUAUGUAUGGUGUGGCUGCUGUACCACUGAAUUCUUAGAUCCAAACAAUCCAUCGUUGUUUGUGAGCAGCUGUAGCAUUGGGCAAAAGGAAAAAGGAAAACCAAAAGACAAGUAUGCAGAGGGAGACUCGUGAUCAUCUCUUUUUUAAAUGUCUUGUUACCCAAGGAAUUUGGAAAAGUUUGCUAGCUCGAAUCGGUUUGCACCGAACUACGGUGAGUUGGAAUACGGAAAUCAACUGGAUUGCUUCCCUUCGAGGGAAGAAGCUUGAUGUCAUUUGCCUCAAGCUUCUUUGGACUCACUACAUAUACUGUACAUGGCGAGAGAGGAAUGUCAGAAUUUACCAAAAGCAUAUCUCUCCUCCAGCGGCAAUAGUUCAGGAGGUCUUUGCAGAUGUGAAAGCGAAGCUGAGUGUUUACCCCCG